AGCGAACGCUGGCGGCAGGCCUAACACAUGCAAGUCGAACGAACUCUUCGGAGUUAGUGGCGGACGGGUGAGUAACACGUGGGAACGUGCCUUUUGGUUCGGAAUAACUCAGGGAAACUUGUGCUAAUACCGAAUGUGCCCAUCGGGGGAAAGAUUUAUCGCCAUUAGAGCGGCCCGCGUCUGAUUAGCUAGUUGGGGAGGUAACGGCUCACCAAGGCGACGAUCAGUAGCUGGUCUGAGAGGAUGACCCGCCACACUGGGACUGAGACACGGCCCAGACUCCUACGGGAGGCAGCAGUGGGGAAUCUUGCGCAAUGGGCGAAAGCCUGACGCAGCCAUGCCGCGUGAAUGAUGAAGGUCUUAGGAUUGUAAAAUUCCUUCACCGGGGACGAUAAUGACGGUACCCGGAGAAGAAGCCCCGGCUAACUUCGUG
rnacentral:rRNA from 1 species